rnacentral:rRNA from 1 species
UACGGAGGAUGCGAGCGUUAUCCGGAUUUAUUGGGUUUAAAGGGUGCGUAGGCGGACUGUCAAGUCAGCGGUAAAAUUGAGAGGCUCAACCUCUUCCCGCCGUUGAAACUGGUGGUCUUGAGUGGAUGAGAAGUACGCGGAAUGCGUGGUGUAGCGGUGAAAUGCAUAGAUAUCACGCAGAACUCCGAUUGCGAAGGCAGCGUACCGGCGCCAGACUGACGCUGAGGCACGAAAGCGUGGGGAUCGAACAGG